UGGAUGAUCACAUACCAGACGCGCACCCUUAGGCGAACAGUGUGCAAUUCGAGUUGAUUAUUUGCAACUCAUUGCGAUUUUGUUCGGCUCAUGGUGUUCGACACCUGCCAUCUCAAGUUUU
rnacentral:precursor_RNA from 9 species